UCCUGUGUGGAGUUUGCAUGUUCUCCUCGAGUCUGUGUGGAUGGGUUACUCCGAUUUUCUCCCACAUUCCAAAAACAUGCAGGGCAGGUGAAUGGAACACUCUAAAUUUUUACAUAGUGUGAGUGUGAGCGUGGAUGGUUGUUCAUCUCUGUGCGCCCUGCCACUGGCUGGCAACCGGUUCAGGGUGUCCCCCGCCUAAUGCCCUAAGAGAGCUGGGAUAGGCUGCAAUAGGCCCCCUGACUCUUGUGAGGAUAAAGCUCAUCAGAAAAUGGACGGAUGGAUGA